GGCUCGGGCUGCAAACACCGGUACCGAGGAGCGUUUGGUCCCCUCUUUUGUCAGUGGGACUGUCAGUCCAGGCUACGUACUCGGAAGAAUGCUUUUGUUUUGCAUUUUUCUCUGUAUGGAAUGCUUUGCUCUUACCUGCUGCAGUAAUUUAGAAGAAAGGUCAUUAGUGUGGCCCCCUACUCCAAUAUGACUGAUGUGCUUAUAAGAAGAGGAAGCUUGGACCCAGAUGGCACAGAGGGAAGACCAUGUGAAGGCACAGGAGAAGACAGCCAUUUACAAGACAAGGAGCGAGGCCUCAGAAGAAACCAACCCUGCUGACAUGUUGUCUCAGAUCUCUCCAUAACUGUGAGAAAAUAAAUCUUUGUUUAAGCUUCCCACCUCGUCUGUUACUUUCUUAUGGCA